UCUGUCAAACCGUGAUGAUAAGUUUUCGGCGUUUGAUUUUCUUUAUUGCUUUUUGAAAUUGUGAAGUGUGUACUAAAACUUGUUGUGAACUUAAAAAUAGUGAUAAAACAUAGUUCUUUCGCUAAUGUAAGUUGCCAAGUAUAGAUUUGAAUCGUUGCAACUGUAAGAAGGCAUUGGUAUUUAUGUGAACCUACGCUAAGUCGCGUUAAGUUUUGAGUCGAAAUACCAUCAGAAAAUGCAGAUGGCUGAAAAAUCUUCGUCGGAAGUAGAUUAAGUAAUUGUGCGGCGAUCGUGAGAUGUGUACAGGAGUUGGAUUGUCUAUAGAUCUAUAGAUAAAACAAUCUGGUAUGCUUCAAUAAUCGAAUUAUCAAUAAGGUAGGAAGGUAACAAUAAGUAAAUCCCUACUGGUUUAGUUUCCUGGGCGUUCAAUUUAUAGAAAAAAUCGUU